rnacentral:rRNA from 1 species
AGACCCGAAACCCGGUGAUCUAGCCAUGGGCAGGUUGAAGGUUGGGUAACACUAACUGGAGGACCGAACCGACUAAUGUUGAAAAAUUAGCGGAUGACCUGUGGCUGGGGGUGAAAGGCCAAUCAAACCGGGAGAUAGCUGGUUCUCCCCGAAAGCUAUUUAGGUAGCGCCUCGUGAAUUCAUCUCCGGGGGUAGAGCACUGUUUCGGCUAGGGGGCCAUCCCGGCUUACCAACCCGAUGCAAACUGCGAAUACCGGAGAAUGUUAUCACGGGAGACACACGGCGGGUGCUAACGUCCGUCGUGAAGAGGGAAACAACCCAGACCGCCAGCUAAGGUCCCAAAGUCAUGGUUAAGUGGGAAACGAUGUGGGAAGGCCCAGACAGCCAGGAUGUUGGCUUAGAAGCAGCCAUCAUUUAAAGAAAGCGUAAUAGCUCACUGGUCGAGUCGGCCUGCGCGGAAGAUGUAACGGGGCUAAACCAUGCACCGAAGCUGCGGCAGCGACACUGUGUGUUGUUGGGUAGGGGAGCGUUCUGUAAGCCUGUGAAGGUGUGUCGUGAGGCAUGCUGGAGGUAUCAGAAGUGCGAAUGCUGACAUAAGUAACGAUAAAGCGGGUGAAAAGCCCGCUCGCCGGAAGACCAAGGGUUCCUGUCCAACGUUAAUCGGGGCAGGGUGAGUCGACCCCUAAGGCGAGGCCGAAAGGCGUAGUCGAUGGGAAACGGGUUAAUAUUCCCGUACUUGGUGUUACUGCGAAGGGGGGACGGAGAAGGCUAUGUUGGCCGGGCGACGGUUGUCCCGGUUUAAGUGUGUAGGUGUGUGUUCCAGGUAAAUCCGGUUCACUUUAACACUGAGGCGUGACGACGAGGCACUACGGUGCUGAAGCAACAAAUGCCCUGCUUCCAGGAAAAGCCUCUAAGCAUCAGGUAACAUCAAAUCGUACCCCAAACCGACACAGGUGGUCAGGUAGAGAAUACCAAGGCGCUUGAGAGAACUCGGGUGAAGGAACUAGGCAAAAUGGUGCCGUAACUUCGGGAGAAGGCACGCUGACACGUAGGUGAAGUGAUUUACUCAUGGAGCUGAAGUCAGUCGAAGAUACCAGCUGGCUGCAACUGUUUAUUAAAAACACAGCACUGUGCAAACACGAAAGUGGACGUAUACGGUGUGACGCCUGCCCGGUGCCGGAAGGUUAAUUGAUGGGGUCAGCGCAAGCGAAGCUCCUGAUCGAAGCCCCGGUAAACGGCGGCCGUAACUAUAACGGUCCUAAGGUAGCGAAAUUCCUUGUCGGGUAAGUUCCGACCUGCACGAAUGGCGUAAUGAUGGCCAGGCUGUCUCCACCCGAGACUCAGUGAAAUUGAACUCGCUGUGAAGAUGCAGUGUACCCGCGGCAAGACGGAAAGACCCCGUGAACCUUUACUAUAGCUUGACACUGAACAUUGAGCCUUGAUGUGUAGGAUAGGUGGGAGGCUUUGAAGUGUGGACGCCAGUCUGCAUGGAGCCGACCUUGAAAUACCACCCUUUAAUGUUUGAUGUUCUAACGUGGACCCGUUACCCGGGUUGCGGACAGUGUCUGGUGGGUAGUUUGACUGGGGCGGUCUCCUCCUAAAGAGUAACGGAGGAGCACGAAGGUUGGCUAAUC